AUAUACUAGCCGCCCUGAAACCACAGGAUGUCCUUCGGGACACGAGUUGGCGGAUGCGUGGGACCUGAUCUGGUAGUAGCCAAGCGAUGGGGUGACGCAGGAAGGUAGCUGGGCCAGUCAGUGGUUGUACUGGUGUAAGAGUGUAGGCCGUGACAUAGGCAAAUCCGUGUCACAUUAAGGCUGAGACUUGAUGCAUACCCGUUGUGGGGAAUUCAGUGAUCCUAUGCUGCCGAGAAAAGCCUCUAGUGAGUUCAUACACGGCCCGUACCCCAAACCGACACAGGUGAUCAGGUAGAGAAUACCAAGGCGAUCGAGAGAACUGUGGUUAAGGAACUCGGCAAAAUGCCCCCGUAACUUCGGGAGAAGGGGGACCAUGCCCGGUGAACAUCUUCACGGUGGGAGCUGGGUGUGGUCGCAGAGACCAGAGAGAAGCGACUGUUUACUAAAAACACAGGUCCGUGCGAAGACGUAAGUCGAUGUAUACGGACUGACGCCUGCCCGGUGCUGGAAGGUUAAGAGGACCGGUUAGCCGUAAGGCGAAGCUGAGAAUUUAAGCCCCAGUAAACGGCGGUGGUAACUAUAACCAUCCUAAGGUAGCGAAAUUCUUUGUCGGGUAAGUUCCGACCUGCACGAAUGGCGUAACGACUUCUCUGCUGUCUCGACCACAGACUCGGCGAAAUUGCACUACGAGUAAAGAUGCUCGUUACGCGCGGCAGGACGAAAAGACCCCGGGACCUUUACUAUAGCUUGGUAUUGGCGUUCGAUUCGGUUUGUGUAGGAUAGGUGGGAGACUGUGAAGCAUGCACGCCAGUGUGUGUGGAGUCGUUGUUGAAAUACCACUCUGAUCGUAUUGGACGUCUAACCUCGGCCCAUGAUCUGGGUUAGGGACAGUGCCUGGUGGGUAGUUUAACUGGGGCGGUUGCCUCCUAAAGAGUAACGGAGGCGCCCAAAGGUUCCCUCAGCCUGGAUGGCAAUCAGGUGUUGAGUGCAAGUGCACAAGGGAGCUUGACUGUGAGACUGACACGUCGAGCAGGGACGAAAGUCGGGACUGAUCCGGCACCGGCAAGUGGAAGCGGUGUCGCUCAACGGAUAAAAGGUACCCCGGGGAUAACAGGCUGAUCUUCCCCAAGAGUCCAUAUCGACGGGAUGGUUUGGCACCUCGAUGUCGGCUCGUCGCAUCCUGGGGCUGGAGUAGGUCCCAAGGGUUGGGCUGUUCGCCCAUUAAAGCGGCACGCGAGCUGGGUUUAGAACGUCGUGAGACAGUUCGGUCUCUAUCCGCCGCGCGCGUAAGAAACUUGAGGAAGGCUGUCCCUAGUACGAGAGGACCGGGACGGACGAACCUCUGGUGUGCCAGUUGUUCCACUAGGAGCAUGGCUGGUUAGCUACGUUCGGAAGGGAUAACCGCUGAAAGCAUCUAAGCGGGAAGCCUGUUCCAAGAUGAGGUUUCUCACCACCUUGCGUGGUUAAGGCCCCCUACAGACCAUGGGGUUGAUAGGCCGGAACUGGAAGCGCAGCAAUGCGUGGAGGUGACCGGUACUAAUAGGCCGAGGGC
rnacentral:rRNA from 1 species